UACGUAGGGUGCGAGCGUUGUCCGGAAUUAUUGGGCGUAAAGAGCUCGUAGGCGGUUUGUUGCGUCUGCCGUGAAAGUCCGGGGCUCAACUCCGGAUCUGCGGUGGGUACGGGCAGACUAGAGUGAUGUAGGGGAGACUGGAAUUCCUGGUGUAGCGGUGAAAUGCGCAGAUAUCAGGAGGAACACCGAUGGCGAAGGCAGGUCUCUGGGCAUUAACUGACGCUGAGGAGCGAAAGCGUGGGGAGCGAACAGG
rnacentral:rRNA from 1 species